rnacentral:tRNA from 1 species
ACUUUUUUAGUAUAAAAAAUAUAUUUGACUUCCAAUCAAAAGAUCUUAAAUCAAGAAAAAGUAAU